UUAGGUUAAGAUGCUCCAAUUUUUGACAACGAACAGGAGGAGACGGGCACCUCAGAGCGGAACACUCAGACAUCCAGCCAGUCUCCAGGGUGCAUGACAAGCCUCAACUACCGCACUGCCUCCCCUGUCUCUGGGGUGCUUUGUGUCCUGUGACCCAGCAGAGCGCAUCUCCAGUCCAUGCCUGAGCUGUGGUCACCAAAUACCCAUUUCCUGGCUUGUGACUUACCCUUACGCAACCUGGUGGGCACCC
rnacentral:lncRNA from 1 species